CUUUCUGUAACUAAAGCUUCUGAGGGAUUUUUAGGGUCAUUUAUUUGUUUUUAAGGAAAAUGUAAUUUGCAGGUUAAGAAAGAGUGCAGGGGGUCAGGUCUCCUGGGUGUAUUCUCAGCUCAGUUACCAACUUCUCCAUGAGUAUGAGUGCGAUAGGAAUUGUAUUUAAUGACUGUAUAUAGAGUCCUUUGAGAUCUUGGAUGAAGCAGGUUAUUGAUAUGCAAAAUAUUCUUUUGAAGAAGAAUAUUUCCUCAUACUUUCAGACAUGAGUAAGAAAAACAUGAGAGAAGAUGAUGAAAUUCUGGUCCUGUACUGCCAGCUCCAAAUGCUUUUCAAGCUGUGCUGGUAAAAUUUCACACUCCUCUUAUGGCCAUCCCUAGGAGACCAAGCAGCACAGAAGCAGCAUGUGCAGCUUUCUGUCCCACUCAGGAGUCAUAGAUCUCAACAUAAACACCUUUGCACAACACCAGAAAAUCAUUUCCAAGGCCAUUGAUGUCAAGAUGGGGAAACAGAAACCUAAAGAGAUGUUCAUGGUCAUAGUUGGAUGUGUGCACCAGAUGGAAGGGCUGACAAGAAGAGGUGAGGACAGGAGGAAACAAAGCCAUCCAGAGAUAUGACUGAUGAGAACCCAGGGCCAUCGUGUAAAGAACAGAAGUUUGCAGCUAAGAAGAAAAAAGGAUCUGAAAUAAUUACAUUUUUUUAAUUUCUCCUUUUUCAUAGGUCUUUUUAUUUUUUUUUUUAAUG
rnacentral:lncRNA from 1 species